GUCCUUGCCGUAAACGAUGUGGAUUAGGUGUCGGGGGUGUCGAUCCCCUCGGCGCCUACGAUAACUCAUUAAAUCCACCACCUGGGGAGUACGGUCGCAAGACUGAAACUCAAAGGAAUUGACGGGGACCCGCACAAGCGGUGGAGCAUGUGGUUUAAUUCGAGGCUACGCGAAGAACCUUACCUAGGCUUGACAUGUUUGCAGUAGUCCUGGUGAAAGCCGGGGCGACCGUAUCCAAUCGGAGGCAUACACAGGUGCUGCAUGGCUGUCGU
rnacentral:rRNA from 1 species